rnacentral:rRNA from 1 species
UGCAGUCGAGCGAUGAAGCACCUUCGGGUGUGAAUUAGCGGCGAACGGGUGAGGAACACGUGAAGAAUCUGCCUUCAACUCUGGGAUAACUCCGGGAAACCGGGGCUAAUACCGGAUAUGAGCCUUGAUCGCAUGAUCGGGGCUGGAAAGUUUUUCGGUUGAAGAUGACUUCGCGGCCUAUCAGCUUGUUGGUGAGGUAAUGGCUCACCAAGGCGACGACGGGUAGCCGGCCUGAGAGGGCGACCGGCCACACUGGGACUGAGACACGGCCCAGACUCCUACGGGAGGCAGCAGUGGGGAAUAUUGGGCAAUGGAGGAAACUCUGACCCAGCGACGCCGCGUGAGGGAUGAAGGCCUUCGGGUUGUAAACCUCUUUCAGUAGGGAAGAAGCGAAAGUGACGGUACCUACAGAAGAAGCACCGGCUAACUAUGUGCCAGCAGCCGCGGUAAUACAUAGGGUGCAAGCGUUGUCCGGAAUUAUUGGGCGUAAAGAGCUCGUAGGUGGUUCGAUACGUCGGAUGUGAAAAUCAGGGGCUCAACCCCUGACCUGCAUCCGAUACGGUCGAGCUAGAGUUUGGUAGGGGAGACUGGAAUUCCUGGUGUAGCGGUGGAAUGCGCAGAUAUCAGGAGAAACACCGAUGGCGAAGGCAGGUCUCUGGGCCAAUACUGACACUGAGGAGCGAAAGCGUGGGGAGCGAACAGGAUUAGAUACCCUGGUAGUCCACGCCGUAAACGGUGGGCGCUAGUUGUGCGAACCUUCCACGGUUUGUGCGACGCAGCUAACGCAUUAAGU